GCGGGAGUAGCUCAGUUGGUAGAGCGCAACCUUGCCAAGGUUGAGGUCGAGAUUUCGAGACUCUUCUCCCGCUCCA
rnacentral:tRNA from 1 species